rnacentral:rRNA from 1 species
UGGGGAAUAUUGCACAAUGGAGGGAACUCUGAUGCAGCGACGCCGCGUGAACGAAGAAGGCUUUCGAGUCGUAAAGUUCAUUUAUAUGGGAAGAUAUGACGGUACCAUAAGAAAAAGCCCCGGCUAACUAAGUGCCAGCAGCCGCGGUAAUACGUAGGGGGCUAGCGUUGGCCGGAAUCACUGGGCGUAAAGGGUUCGCAGGCGGAAAUGCAAGUCAGGUGUAAAAGGCAGUAGCUUAACUACUGUAAGCAUUUGAAACUGCAUAUCUUGAGAAGAGUAGAGGUAAGUGGAAUUUUUAGUGUAGCGGUGAAAUGCGUAGAUAUUAAAAAGAAUACCGGUGGCGAAGGCGGCUUACUGGGCUCAUUCUGACGCUGAGGAACGAAAGCGUGGGUAGCAAACAGG